UACGUAGGGUGCAAGCGUUAAUCGGAAUUACUGGGCGUAAAGCGUGCGCAGGCGGUUGUGCAAGACGGAUGUGAAAUCCCCGGGCUUAACCUGGGAAUUGCAUUCGUGACUGCACGGCUAGAGUGUGUCAGAGGGGGGGUAGAAUUCCACGUGUAGCAGUGAAAUGCGUAGAUAUGUGGAGGAAUACCGAUGGCGAAGGCAGCCCCCUGGGAUAACACUGACGCUCAUGCACGAAAGCGUGGGGAGCAAACAGG
rnacentral:rRNA from 1 species